rnacentral:rRNA from 1 species
GGUUAACGGGGAAUUAGGGUUCAAUUCCGGAGAGGGAGCCUGAGAAACGGCUACCACAUCUAAGGAAGGCAGCAGGCGCGCAAAUUACCCAAUUCUAACAGCAUAAGAGAGGUAGUGACAAGAAAUAACAGUACAAGGCAGUUAAAAUGCUUUGUAAUUGGAAUGAUAGAAAUUUAAAUACUUUUUAAAGUAUCAAUUGGAGGGCAAGUCUGGUGCCAGCAGCCGCGGUAAUUCCAGCUCCAAUAGCGUAUAUUAAAAUUGUUGCAGUUAAAAAGCUCGUAGUUGAAUUUUUGCUAAAAAUAACCGGUCUGCUUUUAUUAAUAAAAGUGGUAUCUUGGUGUGUUUUUAGCAAUAAUGUCCUUUGAAAUGUUUUUUACUUUAUUGUAAGAGGCAAUUUUCAGGAUUUUUACUUUGAGAAAAUUAGAGUGUUUCAAGCAGGCUAACGUUUUGAAUACUGCAGCAUGGAAUAAUAAAAUAGGAUUUUAGUUCUACGUUAUUGGUUUUAAGAACUAAAUUAAUGAUUGAUAGGAGCAGUUGGGGGCAUUUGUAUUUAACUGUCAGAGGUGAAA